UUACGGCCAUAUCACUCAGAAAUACCAGCGCUCGUGCGAUUCCCGAAGUUAAGCAACGUUGAGCCUGGUCAGAACUUAGAUGGGUGACCGCUUGGAAUUACCAGGUGCUGUAA